CGGGAUAUUUAGAAAAAAGUA
rnacentral:tRNA from 5 species